AGCGGCGGACGGGUGAGUAAUGCUUAGGAAUUUGCCCAGUCGAGGGGGACAACAGUUGGAAACGACUGCUAAUACCGCAUACGCCCUACGGGGGAAAGCAGGGGCUCUUCGGACCUUGCGCGAUUGGAUAAGCCUAAGUGAGAUUAGCUAGUUGGUGAGGUAAUGGCUCACCAAGGCGACGAUCUCUAGCUGGUUUGAGAGGAUGAUCAGCCACACUGGGACUGAGACACGGCCCAGACUCCUACGGGAGGCAGCAGUGGGGAAUAUUGCACAAUGGGCGAAAGCCUGAUGCAGCCAUGCCGCGUGUGUGAAGAAGGCCUUCGGGUUGUAAAGCACUUUCAGCGAGGAGGAAAGGUUAGUGGUUAAUACCCGCUAGCUGUGACGUUACUCGCAGAAGAAGCACCGGCUAACUCCGUGCCAGCAGCCGCGGUAAUACGGAGGGUGCGAGCGUUAAUCGGAAUUACUGGGCGUAAAGCGCAUGCAGGCGGCCAAGUCAGUCAGAUGUGAAAGCCCCGGGCUUAACCUGGGAAUUGCAUUUGAUACUGCUUGG
rnacentral:rRNA from 1 species